rnacentral:rRNA from 1 species
GAUGAACGCUAGCGGCAGGCCUAACACAUGCAAGUCGAGGGGUAGAACACUUCGGUGUUUGAGACCGGCGCACGGGUGCGUAACGCGUAUGCAAUCUACCUUGUACAGGGGAAUAGCCCAGAGAAAUUUGGAUUAAUGCCCCAUAGUAUAUAACCUUCGCAUGUUGGUUAUAUUAAAGUUCCAACGGUACAAGAUGAGCAUGCGUCCCAUUAGUUAGUUGGUAAGGUAACGGCUUACCAAGACGAUGAUGGGUAGGGGUCCUGAGAGGGCGCUCCCCCACACUGGUACUGAGACACGGACCAGACUCCUACGGGAGGCAGCAGUGAGGAAUAUUGGUCAAUGGGCGCAAGCCUGAACCAGCCAUGCCGCGUGCAGAAAGACGGUCCUAUGGAUUGUAAACUGCUUUUAUACAGGAAGAAACCCUCCCACGUGUGGGAGAUUGACGGUACUGUAGGAAUAAGGAUCGGCUAACUCCGUGCCAGCCGCCGCGGUAAUAC